rnacentral:tRNA from 1 species
GAGGGUAUAGCUCAGUGGUAGAGCACGUACUUAGCAUGUAGGACACCCUGGGUUCAAUCCCCAGUACCUCCA